rnacentral:rRNA from 1 species
AGAGUUUGAUCGUGGCUCAGAAUCAACGCUGGCGGCGUGCCUAACACAUGCAAGUCGAACGCGAAAGGGGGCAACCCUGAGUAGAGUGGCGAACGGGUGAGUAACACGUGGGUGAUCUACCUUCGAGUGGGGGAUAACGUCCCGAAAGGGACGCUAAUACCGCAUGACGUUCCGGGUUUAAAGGCCUGGAAACCAAAGCCGGGGACCGCAAGGCCUGGCGCUUGAAGAGGAGCCCGCGUCCGAUUAGCUAGUUGGCGGGGUAAUGGCCCACCAAGGCGACGAUCGGUAGCCGGCCUGAGAGGGCGGACGGCCACACUGGAACUGAGACACGGUCCAGACUCCUACGGGAGGCAGCAGUGGGGAAUUGUUCACAAUGGGCGCAAGCCUGAUGACGCAACGCCGCGUGGGGGAUGAAGGUCUUCGGAUUGUAAACCCCUGUCGAAUGGGACGAAAGGCCCGGGUUCUAAUCAGCCCGGGAGUGACGGUACCGUUAAAGGAAGCCACGGCUAAC